rnacentral:sRNA from 1 species
UGUCCCAUGGGAUAAUUGUAGUCCCAUGGGAUAUUUGUUGUCCCAUGGGACCAAAAAAAUCCCAUGGGACUAUAAUUAUCCCAUGGGAUU